GUGUGAGCUUAAGCAGUUUCUCUUUCGAGUCAGAGACCCUACCACCACAACUUGAAAAGGAAGUCCCUAGAAAUAGAGAAGAAAAUUGACCAAAUAGCAUAAUAGGAGUAGGAUUUGAGCAUCUUUCACAUAAUCAACUGCAUUUUCAAUAUAUGAAAAUCAGAACAGAGUAAAAAGCAGUAAAUUCUGGAACUUUUGAGUAUAUGAUCAUUUCUAAAAACAGAAAAUGGAUUUUUUUUUUCAAAAAAAUAGAAUUAAAAAUUUUCCAUAGUUGUUUAAAUGCAAACCGUCCACAAGGGGAAAAAGGGCGGAGGAAAGUGGGGUGCCUCCCUGACAAUCAUGGCAGACAAAAGUUGUAAGCAAGAAGGUCAGCAUUUCGCGAAAAUACCCUCAAAAGCGUUUCGAAGUUGAGUCUAUGAAGGACGAGGAAAAAUUAGCAAGAAUUUGAUAUGGAUGUUCAUAAAGAAGGGUAACAUAGGAUGAAUUUGCUUUGCAAAAGGCUUCUAAUCUAUAGGACAAUGAUGAAGCGAAUUAAUCAAUAAAAGAAGUAAAAGCAAAAGAACAAUCCAAAAGACAGAUCUCUGUGGUCCCUGUUUCACAUAAGGAUAUGUAUGUUCACGGUAAUCAGAAAGGUAGCACGUUGUAUCCCCCUUUUUCUCAACUCUCCUCUACCCAAACAAAUAAAGAGACAAGAAAACAAAUCAACGCAAACCCAUAUUUGGAAUUGUAAAAAAAUACGGUGAGAUAG
rnacentral:misc_RNA from 1 species